rnacentral:rRNA from 1 species
GUCUACAGCCAUGCUACCCUGAACAAGCCCGAUCCCAUCUGAUCUCGGAAGCAAAGCAGGGUCAGGCCUGGUUAAUACUUGGAUGGGAGACUACCUAGGAAGACCAGGUGCUGUAGGUG